UAGCUCAGUUGGUAGAGCGUGCGCUUAGCAUGCGCAAGGUCUUGGGUUCGAUUCCCAACAUCUCC
rnacentral:ncRNA from 15 species